CACUGGGCAGAUUGCAACCCCCGCACUUGGAGACAUGACAGAAUAAGGCUUGAUGGGACAUGAUUCAGGCAGAUUGGGCUUCAGGCAAAACUGCCUCCAGUGCAAGAGAUGAAGGUUCCCUGUUGGUUUGAUUGAACAGCUCAUGGACUUGCAAAUUUGAGCUUAAAGUGUUGUAAUUUAUUCAGUAACAGAUUCAGUGGUCCAGCCUAACAGAUUUUGUGUGGUGUCAUGGAAGAUAACUCUCUCUCUGAUGUCUCCACGAUGAGCUGCUGCAUUAGGCUGACUUUUUUUUUUCAGGAUGUUGGGACAUACAGGGAGAUGGAUAUAUCCUGUGCCUUGUUCUCCAUGCUGCAGUAGAAGGAAGGGACCUGAGGAGCUGAGGAAUUUAAUCUGCUUUGCCAUGCAUGAUAUUUUCUUUGUCGAAAAAUUAUCUCCAUAAUAAAUCAA